rnacentral:rRNA from 1 species
GUUUACGGCCAUACCAGCGCUGGGUACGCCCGAUCUCGUCUGAUCUCGGAAGCUAAGCAGGGUCGGGCCUGGUUAGUACUUGGAUGGGAGACCGCCUGGGAAUACCAGUGCUGGUAAGCU